rnacentral:siRNA from 1 species
AGCUUAUGUGCUGGAGGAGUGA